rnacentral:rRNA from 1 species
GUGGGGAAUCUUCCGCAAUGGACGAAAGUCUGACGGAGCAACGCCGCGUGAACGAUGACGGCCUUCGGGUUGUAAAGUUCUGUUAUACGGGACGAAUGGUACGACGGCCAAUACCCGUCGUAAGUGACGGUACCGUAAGAGAAAGCCACGGCUAACUACGUGCCAGCAGCCGCGGUAAUACGUAGGUGGCAAGCGUUGUCCGGAAUUAUUGGGCGUAAAGGGCGCGCAGGCGGCGUCGUAAGUCGGUCUUAAAAGUGCGGGGCUUAACACCGUGAAGGGACCGAAACUGCGAUGCUAGAGUAUCGGAGAGGAAAGCGGAAUUCCUAGUGUAGCGGUGAAAUGCGUAGAUAUUAGGAGGAACACCAGUGGCGAAAGCGGCUUUCUGGACGACAACUGACGCUGAGGCGCGAAAGCCAGGGGAGCAAACGGGAUUAGAACCCCGGUAGUCC